ACAACACCAAUCACAACUUUGCGAAAAUUAUUGACGUCAGUAAUAGAUAUAAUUUCAUUGGGGAGAUCGUUCCAUUCUUUAGAGAGAGAGAGAGAAACGAGGAGGGAAAAGUAGGGAGGCUAACGAUUCUUUAGAAGUGCGGGAAAAAAAGAGCGUAGAAAAGCUGCUGUUCUGCAUAAAAGGAUGGCUAUUCUGUAAGGAACGGACCAGGUAAUGCGAUGUGCCAGCAGCCUGCGGCAAGAGUGGCUGGCUAGCCACUGGCCUUUACUGCAGCUUCCUAGUGUUCUUCCGGCCUGCUGUACACCUCCACUGCUGCUGCUACGUCUCGGUCAGGUACAAGCUACCCUAAAAGGGGCUGGACUCCCGGCUGCCACACACAGCGGCCACAAUGAGAACCGCCACGGCAACGACGACGACAGAACGGCGAGCACCCCCUUUAUAUAACGCAAGAAGGCAGCUGCAAGGACACAAGGAUGUCAAAGAGCAAGCCCAGCGUGACUUCACGUAUUGCAGAGGAGCGCACACCAAAGAAUCAAAGUGCAUUGUCAUGGAAUUUGGAACAGAAAACUACAAUUAACUUGGCGACCACAGAUUACAUCCCAUUCACCAAGCAUAAGCGCAGAAGCUUCGUAUGGAGGAAUCAAAUACUUCCCACAU